GCCACCACUGCUCGUGGGAGGCAAAGGUUGGAGUGGUUCCUGUAAGAAAUUGAGAGAACUAAAGAGAUAAACUGGGAAUAGAUAGAUUGAGAGGGAAGAACGGCAAAACAGCACCACUGAUGCCCCCUAUUUUCCAAAUCUUUUGUUGCUAUUCCACUCUCCAUUGAUGUGGUACACAGAUUUGAUCACAAACCUGGGGAGCUCCUAGCUAGCCUCCGGUCAGCUGGAUGCAUAUUUCUAUGGUGCUGAAGAUGGUGUUGGCUGCAAGGACGCCGACGAGGCCGCCUCCUCGGUCUGUUUGGCGCAAAUAUCUUGGUCGCAGGCCGUUCGUCCGCUGUUGAUCGUUUGGUAUGUGCUUGCUGACCCUUUGAUUUUUCAUCCAGAUUGGUUCAUGGAAAGGUGAGUUUUUUUUCUGUAUUGCUCAUAAAAAAGGUUGCUGGUGUUGUAUCCAGCAAAUAAAUACUACCAAUUACAAAUUGAGUAGAUGCAAGCUGAUUGUGUCAUCGUUAUAUGCUGGUCCGUACUUGCUAGAGACGAGACAAAUUCUAGCUGAUAUUUGCUAGACGAUAGCUACCUGCUGCUGCUGGAUAUACAUAACUGAUUUUUUUUAGAGGAUUGCUUAUACUGAAUUUUGUUACACCAUUGCUUGCCCUAAAUUUUUUUAGACGAUUCCUUGACCCGCUCUUUUGUAAACAGGAAUGACAACCUAACUAAUCAUGUUUAAUGGUGAAGAAAAGAAGAAAAGAGAAAGGAAAUGUUGCGAUUUGGCUAUGACAUAGCUUCUCCUACUGAUUGCUUUCAUCAACGGAUUUGGGGUAUGAUUUUACGUGCUAUACAAAAAGAAAAGUUAAAGGAUGGUGGCACAAAACGGGAAGCAGGUGAUGUGAUUACUUGAGGUGGAGAUGCAUUAUGUAUAAUAUUGUAGUGAACACGUGGAGGAUCUUAACAAGCUAACAUAAGCUUCAUUCUUUCUCUUUGCCUCUUUUCUUUCUCAUUACUGGAAUCAGUACAAAAUUAUAAAACGUUUUGUAUGAUGGAGCUGCUGAAAACAAUGAUAAUGAACUUGCUGGUUGGCCUGGGUUUUCAUAUGAUAAAUAUUAGUACUUGUCAAAUUAUGCAUUCAGUUUUCGUAUCUUGGCAUAUUCCGUUCAACCACCAUAUUAGCAGAGCUAUUGUGCGUCAAAUGGUACUUGAUUCUGUCAUAUCUCUCGUUCACCAUUGGACUGUCUAAAAUCUGGACGCUUUUUCUUUAGGUGGUACAUUCACUAGAUGGGCAUCGGACUGGUCAUAAGCUAAUUAUGGCUUCUUGAUGCUCAUUUAAUUGAUUGUUGUGUACGGAAAUUACAUGUUAAUAUACUCAUGUAUAUACUUUGUUAACGCUACAAAGUUAGCAGAUAACUUGGGGCUUGUAUCUGUGUCAAAUGAGACUGUCUUAUUUGGCACAAUAGGAUACUGUCUUCCCUAAAUGUGUUGCUGGACAUAGCAUGAAGAAUCAAUUCAACUUAUUUUCUUCUAAUUUGCAAGAUUGAAAGAAAGAUUAUGGAUAUUUGACAAUGUGAGAGAUAUCCAAGCCAGAGGCACUUGCGAGCCUGCAACAGCAAAAAGGAGCAUGGAGUGAUCGGUGGCGCCCCAGACAAAGUGCAGGACUCCUAAUGCUUCAAAAACAUUUAGCGGCAAGCUCUAGCGCUGAUGAUGGUUGGUGCUAGGCGCGGGGUGGUAGAGGCCAAGUUGGAGCAAGAAAAGGGGAGCUAUAGCUCCGCAUGCUCAGCAGGAAGGCUGAGGAGGGGCUGGGGAAGCCGAAGAGGGCGUAACGAAGACAACACGGUCAUUGGUGGUGGCGGCUGGAUUGAGGCAUGGUGGUGGAGGUGCUUGAGGGUGGGAGCCUCCUUGGGAAGGAGAUGGAGGCUUGUGAGCAUAUCGGAGCGGAUGGGGUAAUGGUAAUGCAUCAGGUUAGGGACGGGAUGGAGGAGGAUAUCUCGACUCGGUGGCGGUGCACUAGAGGGGAAGAAAACCACCAAGGCGCGAUUCAGAGCAACCCGUCGCAGUU